GGGGGCGUCACGGCUUCGACGGAAGUGCUUGCGGCUGAGAGGCAUGCCGGGGUGCACACACCCGUAAUCGCGUGCAAAACAACAAUUGCCAAUCAAAACCUGGCAUACGCUGCUUAAUUAAUUAAGUAGCCGUCCUAGGCGGAAGGGCCCGCGGGCCGCCCAAGGACGUCAUUUAGCGGGCUGGUCUCCGGCGCGCGGUCCGAGUGCCGGAGGCGAGAUCAUCGGACUAGCGGUUUGCGUUUCUUGUCCGCUCUGAGCGCCGGCUGCGAACGUUCCCGUAGAAGUACGGGAGCAUGAACGCGACUAAGCAUGUAGUCUCUUCGCCAGUAACAUUUUCGGACGCGGGUUCAACUCCCGCCGCCUCCACCA
rnacentral:tmRNA from 1 species